AGUGAACGCUGGCGGUAGGCCUAACACAUGCAAGUCGAACGGCAGCACAGUAAGAGCUUGCUCUUACGGGUGGCGAGUGGCGGACGGGUGAGGAAUACAUCGGAAUCUACUUUUUCGUGGGGGAUAACGUAGGGAAACUUACGCUAAUACCGCAUACGACCUACGGGUGAAAGCAGUGGAUCUUCGGACCUUGCGCGAUUGAAUGAGCCGAUGUCGGAUUAGCUAGUUGGCGGGGUAAAGGCCCACCAAGGCGACGAUCCGUAGCUGGUCUGAGAGGAUGAUCAGCCACACUGGAACUGAGACACGGUCCAGACUCCUACGGGAGGCAGCAGUGGGGAAUAUUGCACAAUGGGCGCAAGCCUGAUCCAGCCAUACCGCGUGGGUGAAGAAGGCCUUCGGGUUGUAAAGCCCUUUUGUUGGGAAAGAAAAGCAGCAGGUUAAUACCCCGCUGUUCUGACGGUACCCAAAGAAUAAGCACCGGCUAACUUCGUG
rnacentral:rRNA from 1 species